rnacentral:rRNA from 1 species
CCCAGACUCCUACGGGAGGCAGCAGUGGGGGAUAUUGCACAAUGGGGGGAACCCUGAUACAGCGACGCCGCGUGGGUGAAGGAGCGUUUCGGCGCGUAAAGCCCUAUCGGCAGGGAAGAAGGAGGACGGUACCUGACUAAGAGGCCCCGGCUAACUACGUGCCAGCAGCCGCGGCAAUAUGUAGGGGGCAAGCGUUAUCCGGAUUUACUGGUUGUAAAGGGGGCGCAGACGGCGGCGCACGCCAGGGGUGAAAGCCCGGGGCCCAACCCCGGGACUCCUCUUGGAACGGCGCGGCUGGAGUGCAGGAGGGGCAGGCGGAAUUCCUGGUGUAGCGGUGAAAUGUG